AAUGUUGUCAAUUUAAAUAUUUUCUUAUUAUAUUCUUUAAUUUUUUUCUCAAUUGUAUUUAUGUUGGAUAAAAAUAUCUCUAUAGUUUUAAAAAGAAAAUAUUUUGCAUUUCUUUGCGAGCGUUGCUAACCAUUAGAUCUUUCCUCGUGGAGAUUGUUUGGUUAGUUUUGAUAUUCUACUUUCUUGAUAACUCUUGUUUACUAACAGAAGAGCAUGUCCAUUGUACCAGAAACAGGCAUAAAAAAGAUCAGGUUGCUGCGACGUCUGGAUGGUACGCCUGUCAACCUUAAUACAACAAAAUCCGCAAACGACAUAGCCAAAAACUUACAACCCUUAAAUUAUAACAGGAAGUUGGUGGCCCAAAAGGUUUAUUAUGAGAAAAAUCCUGAACACCAAAGCCCCCUCCUCAAGACAGAAAGAGGGCCUGUUAAAGAAAGGCUUGGAGUGAAACAAAUCAGGUUAAAACGUAAUAUGCCUUUAGGAACAAAUACAUCCUCUAUAUUACCAAGGAAGCGGCAUUUUAGAGCAAGAGGCUAUAUGAAUCAAAGCAACCCAGGCAAAUUCAGGCGCAACAAACUGAAUUUCAUAUAUUCUGCUCAGGAUCGAAUAGAACGAAUUCGGAGACAACAGCGCAACAAUUCUCCGAUUAAACUUAGAAGAGGCAACUUACUAACUGUUCAAGUAAAAAACACCAAUUUUAGCCCGUCAACAAACGGAAGCACUGGUUUUUCCUAUCCGGGUUAUCAAAAGUUUAAAAUGAUUCUUAACCCUAUAAUUCAAGACGAGAUUCAGGAAAUUCAACGUGAAAAUAUGGAUAAAAGUAGUGGGCCCCUAUCUCCCUUAACCAGAAUUACUCCUGUUACCACGGAGCUACCUCUUACAACUAGAUUUGCGUUACUUUAGUAUUGCAACUUGUUUUCCUUCCAGACUAGAGUCUGGAAGACGUCUUCAGAUGAGAGCCUAUAUAAAGUAGUUACAUACGUCUACUUUAUAUGGGUUCUCGUAAUCUAUAAUAAUAAGUAUGUUUAAAGUUUCAUUUUUAACUAGAGUAAAAAUUAAGCCUGUUGUUUGUUUUAUUAUACAUGUUUAAGUUAGUAAGAGGAUAAUGAAAUGAGUUUUGAAGAUGAACUAACUGGUUAUGAAUAAAUAUAUGUUUUGAUAAAUUU